AUUGUUUUUCAUAUUGUUUCAUUAUUUUUUGUUGUAAAAGUGAGUAAAUAACAGGCUAAAUUUUUACAAUAGAAAAUUUGCUAACUAUUUUUCCACCACCACAUUUGUGGACUUGGACAUUUCUACAGUUGCUACUCCACUUCUUUAUCUCAUCAUCCCACUUGUAGUGUGAGUGCUGACUAUUUUUUUGCAGGUUCUCGGUGUGCUUUCAAUAACUAUUUUAAACCAUAGCUUGACACCUAUAACCAUAUGGGCUGCCCAACUCCACUUUAUUUUGGCUAUUGUUAUGGUUAUGUAGAUAAUCAAUUAUUAUUAAGCAUUAUUAAACAAAGGAAAUCAGGUGGAAUCAGUAACAAUGGAUGCUGAGUGGACAAUGAAAAAUCUUUGGUCAAAUUAAGCAUGUACUUUAAAAUGAGCUGCAGGAGUUAUAAAUAAGAGAAAAAACAUAUUUUAUGGUUUAAAUUGUCAAUUGGGAGAAGAAAUACGUAAAACUUCUCAAUUUAAUAAUUUUGAU